CGAAUGGCUCACAGGGCUAUACCAAAUAAAUGAAACUGAAAGAGAGGAAGCAAUGGAAUACAAUCUAAAUAAACUUAAACUCAAACCCCGCUCUCUGACGUCACAACUCCGCAUUACCUCAUCGGCGUGAGACGCGAGGGGGAGGUGUAACCCGCUAGUGACGUCAUGUCACCAAGGUAUUCACCCAACCCCCCUCUACCGCGAGUUCUCUCACUGAUGGGCCUAAGUUCAUUAACAUAAUUUAUUAAGUUGCACCGCCGCAUAUUGGGUAUGGGAGUUGUUGUAACCCUCUAGUGACGUCAUGUCACCUCCUGCUGCCGCGUGACGUCACGAGACACCAGGAAGCUGCCGAUCGGCGCUCCUGCGCUCACUGAGAUUUGAGGGGGAAAGAAAAACAACCCCUGGAGGAUCCUGAGGGAAAAUCCACGCGACCACGAGGAGAGAGACACGCGAACUCCAAAUAUACAUCCUUAAUACAGCUGAAACAUUCUUCUGACGCUUCAUCGGCAGAAUUGGUCUGAUGGAGCAAAGGCACUCGGCGCAGCCCGGUUCAACAAGACAACAAUGGGACCAGGAUACAAACAGCAUGGAUUGUACUGGAAGUGUGACAUGGCACCAGAGAACUCAAAGAGGAGAUGAACCCUUCAAGUGCACUGUGUGUGAGAAGGCAUUUUCAGAUUCAUCUGUUUUUAAAAAACACCAGAGAACGCACACGGGAGUGAAACCUUUCAAGUGCACUGUCUGUGAGAAGGCAUUUGCAGAGUUAUCAAAUCUUAAAACACACCAUAGAACACACACAGGAGAGAAAUAUUUCAAGUGCACUGUGUGCGAGAAGGCAUUUGCACAAUUAUCAAAUCUUCAGAGGCACCACAGAACGCACACAGGAGAGAAACCCUUCAAGUGCAGUGUGUGUGGGAAGGCAUUUUCAAAUUCAUCUGGUCUUAAGAACCACCAGAGAACACACACGGAAGGGAAACAUUACAAGUGCAGUUUGUGCGAGACGACAUUUUCAAGUUCAUUUUGUUUUAAAAUGCACCAGAGAACACACAAAGGAGAGAAACCCUUCAGGUGCACUCUGUGCGGGAAGCCCUUUGCAUAUUCA